rnacentral:rRNA from 1 species
GACGAACGCUGGCGGCGUGCUUAACACAUGCAAGUCGAACGGAAAGGCCCUGCUUUUGUGGGGUGCUCGAGUGGCGAACGGGUGAGUAACACGUGAGUAACCUGCCCUUGACUUUGGGAUAACUUCAGGAAACUGGGGCUAAUACCGGAUAGGAGCUCCUGCUGCAUGGUGGGGGUUGGAAAGUUUCGGCGGUUGGGGAUGGACUCGCGGCUUAUCAGCUUGUUGGUGGGGUAGUGGCUUACCAAGGCUUUGACGGGUAGCCGGCCUGAGAGGGUGACCGGCCACAUUGGGACUGAGAUACGGCCCAGACUCCAACGGGAGGCAGCAGUGGGGAAUAUUGCACAGUGGGCGGGAGCCAGAUGCAGAAACGCCGCGUGCGGGAUGACGGCCUUCGGGUUGUAAACCGCUUUCGCCUGUGACGAAGCGUGAGUGACGGUAAUGGGUAAAGAAGCACCGGCUAACUACGUG